AGCAGCGCCACGGUAAUACGAAGGGUGCAAGCGUUACUCGGAAUUACUGGGCGUAAAGCGUGCGUAGGUGGUGGUUUAAGUCCGUUGUGAAAGCCCUGGGCUCAACCUGGGAAUUGCAGUGGAUACUGGGUCACUAGAGUGUGGUAGAGGAUAGUGGAAUUUCCGGUGUAGCAGUGAAAUGCGUAGAGAUCGGAAGGAACAUCUGUGGCGAAGGCGACUAUCUGGGCCAACACUGACACUGAGGCACGAAAGCGUGGGGAGCAAACAGGAUUAGAUACCCCAGUAGUCCCUGUCUCUUAUACA
rnacentral:rRNA from 1 species